rnacentral:rRNA from 1 species
UGGGGAAUAUUGCACAAUGGGGGAAACCCUGAUGCAGCGACGCCGCGUGAGCGAAGAAGGUUUUCGAAUCGUAAAGCUCUGUCCUAUGAGAAGAUAAUGACGGUAUCAUAGGAGGAAGCCCCGGCUAAAUACGUGCCAGCAGCCGCGGUAAUACGUAUGGGGCGAGCGUUGUCCGGAAUUAUUGGGCGUAAAGGGUACGUAGGCGGUCUAUUAAGUCAGGUGUGAAAGCGUGAGGCUUAACCUCAUUAAGCACUUGAAACUGAUAGACUUGAGUGAAGGAGAGGAAAGUGGAAUUCCUAGUGUAGCGGUGAAAUGCGUAGAUAUUAGGAGGAAUACCGGUGGCGAAGGCGACUUUCUGGCCAUAAUCUGACGCUGAGGUACGAAAGCGUGGGUAGCAAACAGG